rnacentral:rRNA from 1 species
UACGGAGGGUGCAAGCGUUAUCCGGAUUCACUGGGUUUAAAGGGUGCGUAGGCGGGUAAGUAAGUCCGUGGUGAAAUCUCUGAGCUUAACUCAGAAACUGCCGUGGAUACUAUUUGCCUUGAAUAUUGUGGAGGUGAGCGGAAUAUGUCAUGUAGCGGUGAAAUGCUUAGAUAUGACAUAGAACACCAAUUGCGAAGGCAGCUCACUACACAAUUAUUGACGCUGAGGCACGAAAGCGUGGGGAUCAAACAGG